rnacentral:snoRNA from 1 species
CCCCCCUGGCAAUGGGCAAAGAGACACCUGAUUGGUGGUGGUGUUCUUAUAUCAGCCAUGGGAAAAGUAGAUGUGUGUAGUCCUUUGUUCAUCCUAGCUUGAUGCCUGGGUUGGUGGCCAGAGCUGUUCCAUGCCUAGGACACAUGA